rnacentral:rRNA from 1 species
AUUGAACGCUGGCGGCAGGCCUAACACAUGCAAGUCGAGCGAGCGGCGGACGGGUGAGUAAUGUCUGGGAAUCUGCCUGGUAGUGGGGGAUAACGUCCGGAAACGGGCGCUAAUACCGCAUACUAUCAGAUGAGCCUAGGUCGGAUUAGCUAGUUGGUGGGGUAAAGGCCUACCAAGGCGACGAUCUGUAGCGGGUCUGAGAGGAUGAUCCGCCACACUGGGACUGAGACACGGCCCAGACUCCUACGGGAGGCAGCAGUGGGGAAUAUUGGACAAUGGGGGGAACCCUGAUCCAGCCAUGCCGCGUGUGUGAAGAAGGCCUUAUGGUUGUAAAGCACUUUAAGCGAGGAGGCGUUACUCGCAGAAUAAGCACCGGCUAACUCUGUGCCAGCAGCCGCGGUAAUAC